CAGCCCACACUACAACAGCCAAUGCCACCACAACUGCAGCUGGUACUACAACAGCAGUUGCCACUACAACUUCCCCUGUCACCACAACUGCAGCCCACACUACAACAGCCAAUGCCACCACAACUGCAGCUGGUACCUCAACAGCAGUUGCCACUACAACUUCCCCUGCAACCACAACUGCAGCCCACACUUCAACAAUUUCUGCCACCACAACUGCAGUCACUCUUACGACAGAGGCUAACACUACAACUGCAGCUGCAACUACAACUUCACCUGUCACCACAACUGCAGCCCACACUACAACAGCCAAUGCCACCACAACUGCAGCUGGUACUACAACAGCAGUUGCAACUACAACUUCACCUGUCACCACAACUGCAGCCCACACUACAACAGCCAAUGCCACCACAACUGCAGCUGGUACCUCAACAGCAGUUGCCACUACAACAUCCCCUGCAACCACAACUGCAGCCCACACUUCAACAGCUUCUGCCACCACAACUGCCGCCACUCUUACGACAGAGGCUAACACUACAACUGCGGCUGCUACUACAACUUCACCUGUCACCACAACUGCAGCCCACACUACAACAGCCAAUGCCACCACAACUGCAGCUGGUACUACAACAGCAGUUGCCACUACAACUUCCCCUGUCACCACAACUGCAGCCCACACUACAACAGCCAAUGCCACCACAACUGCAGCUGGUACCUCAACAGCAGUUGCCACUACAACAUCCCCUGCAACCACAACUGCAGCCCACACUUCAACAGCUUCUGCCACCACAACUGCAGCCACUCUUACGACAGAGGCUAACACUACAACUGCAGCUCCUACUACAACUUCCCCUGUCACCACAACUGCAGCCCACACUACAACAGCCAAUGCCACCACAACUGCAGCUGGUACCUCAACAUCAGUUGCCACUACAACUUCCCCUAUAACCACAACUGCAGCCCACACUACAACAGCUU
ensembl:lncRNA